GGGUUGUGAGGUUAAGCGACUAAGCGUACACGGUGGAUGCCCUGGCAGUCAGAGGCGAUGAAGGGCGUGCUAAUCUGCGAUAAGCGCCGGUAAGGUGAUAUGAACCGUUAUAACCGGCGAUACCCGAAUGGGGAAACCCAGUGUGAUUCGUCACACUAUCAUUAACUGAAUCCAUAGGUUAAUGAGGCGAACCGGGGGAACUGAAACAUCUAAGUACCCCGAGGAAAAGAAAUCAACCGAGAUUCCCCCAGUAGCGGCGAGCGAACGGGGAGGAGCCCAGAGCCUGAAUCAGCAUGUGUGUUAGUGGAAGCGUCUGGAAAGGUGCGCGAUACAGGGUGACAGCCCCGUACACAAAAGCGCAUGUGCUGUGAGCUCGAUGAGUAGGGCGGGACACGUGGUAUCCUGUCUGAAUAUGGGGGGACCAUCCUCCAAGGCUAAAUACUCCUGACUGACCGAUAGUGAACCAGUACCGUGAGGGAAAGGCGAAAAGAACCCCGGCGAGGGGAGUGAAAAAGAACCUGAAACCGUGUACGUACAAGCAGUGGGAG
rnacentral:rRNA from 1 species